rnacentral:rRNA from 1 species
UACGGAGGGUGCGAGCGUUGUCCGGAAUCACUGGGCGUAAAGGGCGCGUAGGCGGCGCGGGUAGUCAUCGGUGAAAGUUCAGGGCUCAACUCUGAAUCGGCCGGUGAUACUCCCGUGCUCGAGCACUGUAGAGGCAGGUGGAAUUCCGGGUGUAGCGGUGGAAUGCGUAGAUAUCGGGAGGAACACCAGUGGCGAAGGCGACUACCUGGCCUGUUCUUGACGCUGAGGCGCGAAAGCUAGGGGAGCAAACGGG